GGCUUUCUAAAGAUCUGGAACAUUAACAAUGGUCAGUGUGUGAAGAUAUGAACAAGGAUGGGGAGUCCAACGAGGUGUGUGACUGCACCUACCUGACAGUCCACAGAAACACGUAUGUGAUGUCUGUUGGAUGGGACAGCAGGUUUGACGUCUACUUUAACUUAUUCAACUUUAUUGCCUUGAGAUCCCAUUUUCAUUACCUUCUGCAUUGGCUUCGCCAGAGCAGAGACUGCCUGAGGGUCUGCACCGGUAGCCAUGCCAAAGUUCAAAGCGUUUCAAGAUUAUGACUUCACAAAACACAUGAGACGAUCUUUGAAAAUCCUUCAAGAGUAUAUUCUGAGUUUAUUAUCAGCGAGGAAUAUAAACGUCCUAAUAAG
ensembl:lncRNA